AAACAAAUUGAAGGUAAGUAUUUAUAAUCAUCACAGAGUUCGUUCUUCUUUUUAUUUUUGUGAACUUUCUGUUCUGGAAGCACAUGAAUUAUUGGAAUUUUAUAGUUCUGGUUUAGCAUGUUUCAUUGUGUUAUAGAAUUGGAUGUGGUUGGCCUUAUCAACCCUGCACCCACCGGUAUAAUUGGAUGUGGAAAUCCCACUGAACGGGCACGGUCUAUGUCAAAUCUGCACAUGUUAGGAAAACCGGGGCAAAUAUUUUUGGUUCCAUAUAACUCAGGUGCUCAUUGGAUGUUGUCGGUGGUGAACCCCGAUGAAGAAGUCGUGCAUUUCAUAGAUCCGCUAAAAAAGCGAUUGUGCUGGUGAAUGGAAAACUAUUGUCGACAACUCCAUUAAAAUCUUCAAUGCCCAAAAGGGUAGGAAAGGAAGGAAAAUAAUCUAAUGGAAGAAUCUUGCUGGUAUUCCGGAGCAAACUGAUUCUAAGACCUGUGGUUAUUUCAUCAUGCGUUAUAUGAAAGAAAUUGUGGAGGACAAGAACUUGGAGUUUGCUACCAAGUGGGAAAGGAAAUCAAAUCUUGCUUACACACAGGAGGAUAUUGAUGUGGUUCGAGCUGAAUGGGAAAAUCAUGUUAUGCAGUUCUAACUUUGGUUCUGUUUAAGGUAGAUGAGUAGCACUUGGAACUGCUUUUGUGCAUUUAUAUAUAACUGAUGGAAAGUGUUGAUGAACCUAAAUUAUGCAUGCAGUUGCUCUGCCUAGCUACUCUUUCUUUACCUUAUAGGUUUUUGACUUAGUGCAUUAGGUAAAUGAUCGAGAUAAGAUGGUUUUUUGGUUCUCUCGAUCGUUAUGUAACUAUUGGCUAGGUUUAGAGUUGGAACUAUGGAUUGUAUUUUGGAUGAUGUU